UACGUAGGGUGCGAGCGUUGUCCGGAAUUAUUGGGCGUAAAGAGCUCGUAGGCGGCUUGUCGCGUCGGAUGUGAAAGCCCGGGGCUUAACUCCGGGUCUGCAUUCGAUACGGGCAGGCUAGAGUGUGGUAGGGGAGAUCGGAAUUCCUGGUGUAGCGGUGAAAUGCGCAGAUAUCAGGAGGAACACCGGUGGCGAAGGCGGAUCUCUGGGCCAUUACUGACGCUGAGGAGCGAAAGUGUGGGGAGCGAACAGG
rnacentral:rRNA from 1 species